rnacentral:rRNA from 1 species
AUGAGCUUGGUCGUCCUGUACGCCUCGUGCUCGCGUGCCGCUGCCUCCUCCUACCUUCCAGUCCGCCAGCCUCACCGCGAGCUCCCCCGGCCUCGUCCCCAUGCCGGAAGGCGCGGCUGCUGCCUGCUCUGCUCUACUGCUUCCUCCCCCCUCCUGUCCGUCAGCCUCGACGCGAGCUCGUCCGGCCUCGUCCCCAUGCGACGCGGCUGUUUCCUCCUCCGUGCACACGGCGCCCUCUUCCUAUCCGUCAGCCUCGCCGCCAGCCCAUCCGGCCUCGUCUCCAUGGAGGAAGAGGCGGGCUGCUGCCUCCUCCGCCCGCGCGCUGCCGUUCUCCGUGGCUGCCAUCUGAGGGUGGGGGAGGUCGGCCAGCAGGUCUUGUCCCACUCGCUGGAUCUGACGAGAGAUGGUCUUGUCUCUUUUUUUUUGCGGGCAGAGAUGGUCUUGUCUCUUGUGCAGAAGGGUGUGGAGAGUUCGAGAGGAGAGAGCUAG